UGAAACCCAAAAUAUUUGCUGC
rnacentral:piRNA from 1 species